UACGGGGGGGGCAAGCGUUGUUCGGAAUUACUGGGCGUAAAGGGCUCGUAGGCGGCCAACUAAGUCAGACGUGAAAUCCCCAGGCUCAACCUGGGAACUGCGUCUGAUACUGGAUGGCUUGAAUCCGGGAGAGGGAUGCAGAAUUCCAGGUGUAGCGGUGAAAUUCGUAGAUAUUCGCAAGAACACCAGUGGCGAAGGCGGCCGACUGGUCCGGUUCUGACGCUGAGGCGCGAAAGCGUGGGGAGCAAACAGG
rnacentral:rRNA from 1 species